UCUUUGGUUUUCUUCAAAACCACUUCAUAGCCACUUCAAAAUCAGGU
rfam:Fistulina hepatica ATCC 64428 unplaced genomic scaffold FISHEscaffold_449, whole genome shotgun sequence.